CCUACGGGAGGCAGCAGUGAGGAAUAUUGGUCAAUGGACGAGAGUCUGAACCAGCCAAGUAGCGUGAAGGAUGACUGCCCUAUGGGUUGUAAACUUCUUUUAUAUGGGAAUAAAAUGUUCCACGUGUGGGAUUUUGUAUGUACCAUAUGAAUAAGGAUCGGCUAACUCCGUGCCAGCAGCCGCGGUAAUACGGAGGAUCCGAGCGUUAUCCGGAUUUAUUGGGUUUAAAGGGAGCGUAGGUGGAUUGUUAAGUCAGUUGUGAAAGUUUGCGGCUCAACCGUAAAAUUGCAGUUGAAACUGGCAGUCUUGAGUACAGUAGAGGUGGGCGGAAUGCGUGGUGUAGCGGUGAAAUGCUUAGAUAUCACGAAGAACGCCGAUUGCGAAGGCAGUUCACUGGACUGCAACUGACACUGAGGCUCGAAAGUGUGGGUAUCAAACAGGAUUAGAUACCCUUGUAGUG
rnacentral:rRNA from 1 species